UGCUCUGAUGUGGAGGUUGGGUGUAGUGGCAGCAGCAGAUGGUGCAGAUCAGAUCGAUGUGAUCGCUGCUGUUGCUGCUGUUGCUGCUGUUGCUGCUGCUGCUGUUGCUGCUUUUCCUGCUUCCUCCUCUGGUUCUGGGGCUCAGGGCGCUGGCUGAGGACUGUGGAGAAGCAUCUGCAGCCUGGUGGAGGGUCCGUGCAUCUGGGGACUAUUCUGCAGGAUAUUCUCAUCAUCACUGACUUGCAGGUUCAUCAUCAAGAGGAAUAAAGCUGCUUCCACCCAUCUGAGGUUCCUUAGGGAGAUAUCAGCUCCAACACAAGGAUCAGCCAGAUGUGAGAUCAGCAGAGCUCACACUCAGUCCUGGACACUACACGGAAUCUAUAGGUCCAUUGGACAACCAAUUGAACAGCCUGGAGCCUGGGAGGGGGGCGUACAAGAGAGGGUUAUUCUGCAAGUACAGAGGAAGACGUGAGGAGAGGCAAGGACUUGGACUAAGAGGACAUUUUGGACUUGGUUUAUGGACCUGUUUGGAUUCUUCUGCUCUUCCUGUGGAUUUUAUUGUCCAUGAUCGGCGUCUGCUGCUGCUGCUGCUGCUGCUUUGUGGCUCUCUUCGGUGACGGGUAUUCUUGGGUGGAUAAUACGGAUUACGUUGUUAUUGCUUAAGAAUACGCGUAGUUGAGGAGAGUUUGUCCUACGAGCAUGCUGCAAGGCUCCCACACCCGGGCUUGGCCAAGGUAGCGCUAUUUCAUCUCUUUUUCAUGCAUUGACAGUGGUUGCAUGCCCAGAAUGGUGCCAAGGCUCCACCAAGCUAUGAUUUCAGCAGAUUUAAGGGGCAGUGUGUUGUAUCCUCCCCUUUAAACUACCGCUGAAUGAUGCCCACUACCACCGGGUUCUCUGCUUGGCUCCUCUUACGGUUUAUUGUUGACUUUACUAAUGUCUUAGCUCAGUGGUCUUCAAUCUGCGGCCCUCCAGCUGUUGCAAAACUACAAUUCCCAGCAUGCCCGGACAGCCGUUGGCUGUCCGGGCAUGUUGGGAGUUGUAGUUUUGGAACAGCUGGAGGGCCACAGUUUGAAGACUGCUGUCUUUGCUCAUAUGACUUCUCUUCUAUGUGGCUGCUAGGGUCGUUCUGUUAGGCUGAGGAUGAGGAGGAAUUGUGUGUUGGGUAGGAUCUAUACCAAGGCAACGCCUUAGCAUUCUGUCCGCCCCGGUCCCUGGGGACUAUAGUGGAAUAAAACCAUCCCUGCUCAGUGGCCUGUCUCUUUGCCUGGGGCCUAAUCUCUGCUCCCCCUAUAUUACCCUUUGCCUUAGUGCUCGGUCAUUGGGAUCUUCUCUCUCUGACAAGUCUGACAAGUAGUAACUAUCACCUCCGAAGUGUCACUUGUGGAGAACUCACGACUACAGGAGCGAUGUAGGGACUCCCGACUACAGGGGAAAGGGGUUAAUGCAGGAGAACCAGCAGCAGAACACCCGACUACAGGGAAAGGGGUUAAAUGCAGGAGAACCAGCAGCAGAACACCCGACUACAGGGGAAAGGCUUAGUGAGUGCAGAGGAGAGGGUUAAUGCAGGAGCACCAUCCGCAGAACUGCCGACUACAGGGGAAAGGCUUAGUGAGUGCAGAGGAGAGGGUUAAUGCAGGAGCACCACCCGCAGAACUGCCGACUCCAAGGAGAAGGUUAAUGCUAGAAUAUCAUCUUCACAACUCCCGACUACAAGGGAAAGGGUUAAUGCAGGAGCACCACCUGCAGAACUCCCGACUACAGGGGAAAGGGUUAAUACAGAAGCCCCACCUGAAGAACUCCCGACUCCAGGGGAAAGGGUUAAUGCGGGAGCCCCGCCAGCUUGUCUCUGUUGUCUUAACCAUAGAUUGCAAAUCAGUCCUCCAAAAAGCGUUUGGAAAUCUAUGAGAGAACAUUGUAACCCAUUAAUGUCUCUCUGGGUGGGCCAGUAAUCGCUCUGAUAGGGCUGGGGGUCUCCGGCUCCUCUCUAUUCUUCUCCUAUAAAUGGAUUCUAGAUUUAUGACCUACAGGAAUAUGCAGAAUAUCUGUCAUAAAAUCAUCAUUUAUGGUGAAGAGAUAGAGCAGAGGGGAUGUGAUUCUUAGGAGAUGUUCUGCAUAUAAAAUCUGAUCAAAUCUGAUAAAAUCUGAUAAAAUAUACAUUAUCAAUGGCUGAGAAUAUCACAUUCUGGGCAAGUGCUGGACAAGGUGCAGGAACAUGUCAGCAAAUUGUGUCAGCAAAACCUCAGGGCAAAAAGCUGCACACCUAUAGCUAUGUGCAUGUGUCCAACUAGAUAUGUAUAGUCAAUUCAUGUAUAUUAUGUAUAUACAGUGCACAUGUGUGUAUUAUAGAUAUGUAUAUACAGUGCACAUGUGUGUAUUAUAGAUAUGUAUAUACAGUGCACAUGUGUAUUAUAGAUAUGUAUAUACAGUGCAUACAUGUGUAUUAUAGAUAUGUAUAUACAGUGCAUACAUGUGUAUUAUAGAUAUGUAUAUACAGUGCAUACAUGUGUAAGAUUUAUGUAUAGUGGUGUAUAUACAUAUC